CCCGAGUAGACGAGCGCCGUGCUUGCCUGCCAUCACUUUGAAACCAGCCGUGUGUUUAAGAGUGUCCAUGACCCGUAGAUGUGAACGGAGAGGGGAACACAGCAGAGAGAGAGCGGGAGAGAGAGAGAGAGUGAGAGACUCCGCAGACCCCAGCAGGGUCAGAUCCAGGGAAGAGGACGGGAUCCAGGGGAGAGGGGGGAAGGAGUGAGGAGAGGGUCCAUCUGCCACAGAGCAUGAGAGGGCUGCAUCUAGAGAGUUGGGGGGCCUUGUUUGUGCCACGUUUUCAAAUUCCCUCGAAUGCCACGCCAGUAAUCCGCUUGCAAUCCUUCUGGCAAUUUCUUUUUUUUUUAUAAAAUGAUGAAUUCCUUUCUGUCUUGAUGCAUUUCCACCAGCUGGGCUUUAAGACCGUCUUGCAUUUUUAAGAAGGAGCUGAUGUUUAUGUUCGGAUGGCAAUGAAUUUAGUCUGAAUUUUUUGUUCAUAUUGUUUCAUAUUGUAUAGUUUGUGCAAUUGUCAAACUUUGACGCUCUCGUCACCAUCAUAUUCGACAGAAAAGUGGACAAAUUAAAACAACUUUUAAUGAUAUUGCUAUUGUAUUAUUUCCUCCUGUGUCAUAUUACAUGUAGUUUUUAAUACUUCUUACAGCGACAGCAGUGACAGUAAUAUAUUAAAAGAUAAUCCCAAAAUAAUAAGCAUAUUUAACGUCACAUCCAUCUGUACACAGUGAAGAAAAGAAAAAAGGUUAAUACUUUAAACUUGCUUGUGCUACCUGAUCACAGCUCGCAUUAAUUGAACCCCGGCCAAAGAAUACAUGAAGAAUGCGUCAUUAGUGCACACAGUCACACAAUGGUUUACAAACUCGUUUCUUUUCUUCCUUUGCAUGUAAUCUCUUUGCCAUGAAGAACCUGGACAUUUCUGUACCAUUAAUGCUGGUUUCAAUUGAACAAAAAUAAACGUCCCCGGAAUUCAACCUUGUUGGAGCAUUUUGCAUAAAUGAGGAUGGAAGCGACGCCAUGUCAUUUGAUAUUCAUCCGUCUUUGUAUUCAUUGGGUUCACCUGCUUCUUCCACAGCCACCGUCGCUGCUGCGUCUAUCGCUGCUGUCAUUUUAUUAUACGGGUGCAACAGAUGCUGGCAGUUUAUACCAGUCUGUAUACGUCUAUCUCAGCAGCAGCCAGGGUAGUCAAAGCUCAAAGCAACACGUUGUUGGGUGGAGAGAUGACACAGGCAAUGCUGGCUGCUCUCGUGCCACAUUUGGCAGCUCUGUUUUCUCACUGAGCUUUCCAUUUCUAACUGGGAGCAUCAUCUGGCCACCACCACCACCACCACCACCUCCAUUCUGCUGAACAAUUGAACGCGCACCCGACAAGCUGAGGUCGAGGGGGAGUUGGAUGGUGGCGCUUGUCAUUCUUGCCAUAACAAAAGGAUUAUUCAGUUUUCCCUAUGACUUUCCAUUUGCCCAUUGUCUUGAUGGCUUAUUCCAACGAAGCUUGAUUUAUAAAGCUUUUAAUUUUUUUUUGCGCUGUUCGAACCCCAAAAAAUAAAACAAGAAAAAGCGUCUGUUUUUUUAAAGCAGUUUGUUUAUCCCCAUACUUGCUUGGUAUUGCGUAUCAUAUUACAUCGCCCAUAGCGCGCACGUCAACAAAGGGAGGAGGACAGGCUGUACGUUCAGCAUACUGUUGACUGCCUCUUUAUGUC
ensembl:lncRNA